AUUGAACGCUGGCGGCAGGCCUAACACAUGCAAGUCGAGCGGAUGAGAGGAGCUUGCUUCUCGAUUCAGCGGCGGACGGGUGAGUAAUGCCUAGGAAUCUGCCUGGUAGUGGGGGACAACGUUUCGAAAGGAACGCUAAUACCGCAUACGUCCUACGGGAGAAAGCAGGGGACCUUCGGGCCUUGCGCUAUCAGAUGAGCCUAGGUCGGAUUAGCUAGUUGGUGAGGUAAUGGCUCACCAAGGCGACGAUCCGUAACUGGUCUGAGAGGAUGAUCAGUCACACUGGAACUGAGACACGGUCCAGACUCCUACGGGAGGCAGCAGUGGGGAAUAUUGGACAAUGGGCGAAAGCCUGAUCCAGCCAUGCCGCGUGUGUGAAGAAGGUCUUCGGAUUGUAAAGCACUUUAAGUUGGGAGGAAGAGUUGUAGAUUAAUACGCUGCAAUUUUGACGUUACCGACAGAAUAAGCACCGGCUAACUCUGUGCCAGCCGCCGCCGUAACAC
rnacentral:rRNA from 1 species